rnacentral:sRNA from 1 species
UUUGCGCUGGAGGAGAGUGAAAGAGAUGGGUGUGUGGGAGUGGGGGAAGCUGAGCUCCAGGCAGACAGCACAGAGCCGCCUUGUCCAACCCAGCCAGGUGCCAUGGCAACCGACAAAGGCCCCAUUGUCCCGUGUCUGCUGGGCCUUCCUGAGGCUCUGGGGUCAGAGCUUUGGGGAAGUGUUUUGUUUGUAGAUUUGGGAUGUGGAGGGGGACUGGGCUACAGCACCCACCCAAGAGUGUCAGAAUCUGACAUCCCCUGAGAGACCACCCAAGCCCAACCGUCCACUGUAUAGAUGAGGAAACUGGAACUUCUAGAGGGGACGAGAAGAAUGAAUUAGCCUAACUUAGUGCUCCAUCCAUGUGACUGGGCAGGGGAGGGGUCACUUUUGUCUUCCUGAGGGAGACAAGAGAUCUCUCCUUUCAUGAGAGACUUGGGCUUGAGGCUGGGUUGGAGAGGAAAGUCUAAAAUGUGGGGGCCCAAUUCACCUACCCCCAAACUCCCUCCUCAUGGUCUGGUGGGAUUUGCUUUGCAGAGCAUGGAAGACAGCGCUGCUGGAGGCGAACUCCGCCCCGGUGCGCGUCUACAGCCCGUACCAAGACUACUACGAGGUGGUGCCCCCCAAUGCACACGAGGCCACGUAUGUCCGCAGCUACUACGGACCGCCCUACGCAGGUCCUGGCGUGACGCACGUGAUAGUGCGGGAGGAUCCCUGCUACAGCGCCGGCGCCCCUCUGGCCAUGGGCAUGCUUGCGGGAGCCGCCACUGGGGCGGCGCUGGGCUCGCUCAUGUGGUCGCCCUGCUGGUUCUGAGCCCUGGGACUCGGAGCACUGACCCCUGCGCUUGGAUUGCUAGACUCCUCUUCCUCCUGGACCCCAUCCUCUACCAUCCAAGCCCUGUCCCACUUUGGCCCUAUCCUCUCCAUUAGCUCCUUCCGGGUUUGGACCAUUCCCCCCACUCCCUACCCUUAAUCCCCACAUGGGAAGAAGCUAUCAUCACAGGUACAAACAUCGCUUGAAGUCUUCACAUCUACCACUAGACACCCCCAAAAUCUGUUAUAGACAUUUAUGGAUACAUUUCCUCUAAACACAACAGGGCACAGCAAAUACGACUUCAUUUGGCUUCGAGUUCCCCAGGCGCUGUAGACACAACAUGAAUCAGGCUCUCUGCUCUCUCCUUAGGGAGCUCAAGUCCUGGUGGGGAGAACAGGAGUAAACAAGGACUUGAAAAAGCUGAAGAGUUAUCAGUCCUUUGACAAGGACAGGUGGGGCAGGGAGCAAGACAGGUAGGCUGGAAGAACAGUUAUUGGCAAGUAUGCAGAGCCGUGAACGUCAUGGCAUGUCCAAGGAAUUAAAUGGGAGUUCAUUUGGGCUGGGGUGGAGGCUGGGAUCAGACCGUGGUGGGCCUUCAAGCUAAGGAGAUUCCUAGGUGAAAGGGGAGAUGUGAGCCUUCUCUGGAGGGAAGUUUCAUGAUUGCAUCUAUAAUGAAUAUAUUGCCUGUUUUGUGAAUAUUGACACGUCCAUACCUAAAACACCCCUGAGUUAAGUCCCAUCCUUCCCACAAACAGCUUCCUGGCUGGUACCCAUGAUAACAAUUGAGCUGAACCUGGGGACCCCUGGUUGGGGAACAGGUGAGUUCUAUUUGAGACUUCUAGCCCUAGAAAGCUGCCUCCGUCCAGAAAUGCCUCUCACACCAGGAGCUCGGCCCUCUCUUUGUAGCUGUGACUGUCACCCUCUCAGGCUUUGUCUCAUCCUUCAUUCUGAAUGAGAUGGCAGUGUUCUCCUCUGGGGCCUGAUCCACCUCUACACCAGCCCAGGAAGCCCCAUCUGUGCCUGCCCUCAGGUGGUCCACCAGUCUCCCCCUUUGGUCCCCUUCCAGUCUCUUCCCCCUUUCUAUCCCAAUCACCAAUAGAAAUGCUAACAUCCCUGCCUGGAAGCCAGACUAGCCCACUAAAGCUCCCCUGUAAAUGGGGGCUCCAUUAGUUCUGCUGCCGAGACUAAUAAAGAUUUGGUUGGCUCUA